GUGGGGAAUAUUGGACAAUGGGGGGAACCCUGAUCCAGCCAUGCCGCGUGUGUGAAGAAGGCCUUUUGGUUGUAAAGCACUUUAAGCGAGGAGGAGGCUACCGAGAUUAAUACUCUUGGAUAGUGGACGUUACUCGCAGAAUAAGCACCGGCUAACUCUGUGCCAGCAGCCGCGGUAAUACAGAGGGUGCAAGCGUUAAUCGGAUUUACUGGGUGUAAAGCGCGCGUAGGUGGCCAAUUAAAUCAAAUGUGAAAUCCCCGAGCUUAACUUGGGAAUUACAUUCGAUACUGGUUGGCUAGAGUAUGGGAGAGGAUGGUAGAAUUCCAGGUGUAGCGGUGAAAUGCGUAGAGAUCUGGAGGAAUACCGAUGGCGAAGGCAGCCAUCUGGCCUAAUACUAACACUGAGGUGCGAAAGCAUGGGGAGCAAACAGGAUUAGAAACCCCAGUAGUCC
rnacentral:rRNA from 1 species